ACAGAACGGAAUGUGCCAUUGAGGAGAAAGCAUAUACAGCAGCUGCAGUCUCCCAGCAGGUAUUUUCCCAAGCUGAGAUGCCUGGCAUUGCAACAUAUACUUACUUAUUUCUCAGUUUCUUACCACUAACUGGAGGACCAAGAAGGUGUAUGUGUAUGCAAAGGGAAGAGUGCAGGGCACUACUGUUUCAUGUCUGAAUAGAGAUUAGAUCCUACAUGAUUCCUAAGAUCAAGGAAGCCAGAUUAGUUUUGAGAAUAUUCUUUACUCCUCUCCUCAGCUGCAUGAAGCAGAAUCUGUUGUACAGCUUCAUGACUGACAAAUGCAAAAGGAAGAUGCCAGAGGCAUAUUUGCUGCUGAAAGAUGAAAUUUGUGCUUUCAUAUUUGAACUGUCAGCUGUAAGCAGUUAGUAGACUUUGUGAUCAUUCAUCUCAUAGCAAUCACUAAACAUCCAACUGAUGGCGAUGAUUUCUCUGUUAUACUUCUGUUGGUUUAUUCAGGUUCCCUUGGCAGUAAUGCUUACUCUAGGCUAUAUUUAGACAUAAGAUGGAAGGAGACUUAAGUAUUUCAUUAAAUUCACCACUGACAUUUGUGAGUGAAGAAGAAGGAAGAAGUUACAGAUGAACCAAGUGUGCUAACUCUCAGGUCUUAAACUGACUUCUGAUGGUAAAAAUGGAGAUUAGAAGUUCCCAGUGCAUAUGAUUUUACCGUGACUGGCAUACAUGACAAGAAGAACACUCUUUUCCUACCACCUUUUAGUACGUAUUUCAAAGAUGCUGCAAAAAUUUUAUUUGCCAUCUGUUCAUUUCUAUAGUUUUGGACUGAGAAAUGAAGAUGCUGAACAUGAUGAAUACUCACACAGACCAGAAAUGCAGUGAUCAGGACUGUCCACAGUACUCAAGAUGUGUGGAGGAGCCUACUUAUCCAUCCCUUGAUGCCUGAAGUCUGAAAGAGAUAACUGUGCGCCCACGUGGUUUGAGAAACUCCACAGUUUGGAAAGGCAAGAGUCAUUAGUGACACGUGGUAUGGAAUAACCCUUUGGCCAGCUUAGGUCAACUGUCCUGGUUCUGUCCUCUCCAUCUCCUUGUACCUCCUCAGCCUCCUUCAGUGUCAGGAAAGUACAAGAAGCUGAAGCAUUUUGGGCACAAUAACCCCAAGCAACCCUACGGACUUGAGGAGGAAUAGCUGGAAAGCUGCCUGACAGAAAGGGACCUUGGUGCACUGAUGGAUAGCCAGCUGAAUAUGAGCCAGCAGUGUGCCCAGGUGGCCAAUGUAUCAGGAACAGUGUGGUGAGCAGGAUUAAGGAAGUAAUCCUGCCCCUGUACUUGGCACUGGUGAGGUCCCACCUCAAGUACUGUGUUCAGUUUUGGGCACCUCAGUACAGAAAGGACAUGGAAGUGCUAGAGCAGGUCCAAAGAAGGGCAAGAAAGCUUGUGAAGUUCUUGAAGAACGUGCCCUACAAGGAGUGACUGAAGGAACUGGGGCUGUUUGGUCUGGGGAAAAGGAGGCUGAGGGGAGACCUUAUUGCUCUUUUCAAAUCACCUGAAAGGUGAUGUCAUGGUUUAUGAUUUUUGUUAUCUGUAUUCCACAUCAUAACAUCAUGUAAAGCAUGUGGAAUUAGAGAGUCAAUACUCCAGUUCUGUGGGCUGACAACUUUCCAGAUACCUGGUUCUCAGAGGAGAGGCAGAACUACAUAUCACAGAGCACUUCACAUUCAGAGGGGAAGAUGAGACCCGCAAGUCACAAGACUCUCUCUCCCUCACUCCCUGACAGUGUGUAUGUGUGCACUCCCCAGACAUUUCACCUUCAGUUCAGCAUAUGGCCUUUUGUUUUGGGCACACUCUCAUUUUAUUUGAUUUAUUAGCCUCCACUCCAAUCACAUUGUGUUAUACUCUAUUACCUUGUAUUCUGAUAUAUUUAGUAAAAUUAACUUUCCUCUUCAGAUCAUUGCCACUGUUCUGCUCUUGGGCCCUUCUCCCUACCUUUCCCCCUCUCCCUUUUUGGGCCCAUGGGCCUGCAGGCCUGCUGUUCCCCCUGUCAUAGACACAGAUUGAUCUAGAUAACUGUGACAGGUGAUUGCAGCAAGAGUGGUACUGGUCUCUUCUCACUGGUGACGGGUGACAGGAUGAGGGGAAAUGGCCUCAAGUUGCACCAGGAUAAGAUUAGGUUGGAUAUCAGGAAAAACUUAUUUACAAAAAGGGUGGUUAAGCACUGGAAUAGGCUCCCCAGGGAGGUGAUUGAGUUAGCCUCCCUAAGUGUGUUUAAAAACCAUUCAGAUGUGGUGCUCAGGGACAUAAUUUAGAGUUUGGGUAAUAUGAUCACAUUGCAAUUAAUUAAAAUUGCUCGCUAAUGCCUGUACUGAUGCGAUGUUUGCUUUUGUUACCUAGAGUUCUCAAGAAACAAUGGUAAUGUUGCCUUGCAUGCAAGCCUAGAACUGUUCUGAAAAGCUAGGACUGUCAAAAAAAAAAAAAGAAAAAAGAAAAGCAGCUAGCCAGAGCAGGGCUGCAGUCAUUUGAGAAACCCUAUCUGUGUUUUGCACAUAGGAUGGAAAAGAAAUAGGCUUCAGGCUGAAAUUAGAGGGCAGGGUCCCACACUUCAAGGCACAAUAGGAAGUUAAAUGCACACAUGGUACAUGAUUUUCCAUUGACUUGCUCUCGAUUGCUUUCAACUCACCAGCUGGAUGAUUAGGAGUGUUCUCAGCAGGUGGUUAAUUUCUUUGCAUGCCAUCUAUGGGUGGAUUUUAUGUCUAUGCCCAGGGAGGGGGGGGGGGGGGGGGGGGGGGAGGAGGGGGUCUUUGUGUUCUUUAGGUACAACUGACACACUCUUGCUUUCACAACUGAUAGCAAUGCUUCAGAAGCAUAGUUCUGCCUGAGGUAAGAGGGGAUUUUUGAAGAACUAACCUGAGGAGGAUUGCAAAAUAAAUGCAGGGCAAUCAUUUUAAUUACAUAAGAUGCUGCACAUGUCUUUCAAAGACUUCUGGAUAACACAAGUGCUAUCAGUCUACUCCUUCCAGAGACUUAUCUUUAAAGUCCGGUGAUAGAAAGUGAGACAGAUACUGCAGUUUCUCUAAAGAUAGUGCUUCUAAAAAAAAAAAAAUCUUAGAGCUGCUAAUCUCUCAUGCUCUGCAUGCUGUGUGACCAGACAGGUGUUUUGUGAAGAACCCUUGGGGAAAGUCCACACUGAUAUAAAAAGGAAGAAGUUUUCAUUUCAUGAAUCACUAGAUUGGCAGUGAUCCAUUACAGCUUGUCACAGAUGUUAUGGAGCAAAACCAAGGUACUGCCCUGCAUUUUAUACCCCUGUGACUGGAAAAUUUGAACCCAGGGAUUUGCAAGUUGGGUGACUCUAGCUGUAAUCACCCACAGCAAUCUUAUUAACUAUUAAUAUCUUCAGCAUUUUGGACACUUUUUCUUAAAUGUCUUCGAAACUGGUUUUAGAUAUUAACCCUUUAAGAUUCUCCCAGUGUUAACUACUCUCUCCUGUCAGAGAAGUAUAAUGAUUUUGAGUAUCAUACAACAGCAUUAUUCAUGGAAUAAAUGCAGUAUCAAAUUGCUGUACUGAAGGAUUUGUGAGUUAAUCCCUGUACAGCGAUAAAGUAGCUCUCAGAUAUACACUGUAUACCAUAGAUACUAGAAAGCCUGGUAUUACUUUAUUAGUGAUAAUACUAGCCAGGGGACACAUUUGUGCCUCUCAUCAGGCUCAAGCCAGAAUUCCAUGAAUUUUCAGGAGAUACAAGUGGUGAAAACUGAGGUAGCUAAGAUGAUUGCAUUUCCUUACUCUUCCUGCCUCAGAAUAGUAAAGGACUAAAGGAAUGUCUUUAUGAAACAUAGAAAACAGCAUUCCUCCAGAAUGCAGAAUAUUAAUGUGGAUAAAGGAGGCUUUUUUCUAUCUUGGCAAUCAUUCUUCUUUCUUAGAGACUCCUCAGUGGAAGAAAUAUUUCCACAAGUUUUGAGGUAGCCAUAAUUGACUUUCUCUCACUAUUAUAUGUAUGGCUAUUGCAAGUUUUUACUGGGUAUUCUUUUAUUCCCUCCCAAAAUCUCUUCCUAAAGCUGUUGUGCCAGCCUCACAUUAGUAACUUGAAACACUUCCCUGAACUUUAAGGAUAAUGUUUUUGUAACCUAUUUGCAUAGCAUAAGGAUAGGUGGCAGCAGAUAUAGUUGCUUUAACCACUUCCGGAUCACCCAAGAAAAACAGUAGUCACAGUUCAGUAAAAAAGAAAAAAAAUCACUUACCCCUUUCCAAGAAUUAGAGCUUACUAAACACUCUAAAGAAGAUGAUCUCCAAGUAGAGAUACUUCCCUUGUGGCGACCAGACCUUAAAUAAGGUUAGGGAGUGGCAGACCCAGCGUUCACUCCUUUUGGCCACGCAUGUGAAUUGCUUCCACCUGUGCUCCCAGAGCUGGCUACGCCCCUUCACCAGGUGCUCAACCACUGCUUCAAGUCAUAACCUAACAUUUCCCAUACAUGAGAUAUUUGUACUAUGAGUUAAACAUAAAAUUAUCUUGUUUUAAAUGAAAUAAAUUCCUGAAUAAAUUGUAUAUAAAAAAUACUCCAUGUUGAACUUGGCCUUUAUUUACUUCAUUGUUGUAGGAUUUUCUUCAGACUGUUUCUAGCUGUCACUAGUGUCAUUCGUUGCACACUGUGUGAGCAGAAUAUAUUCUGUCAUUUCUGCAGAUAAGGUUUUUGACCUUGUGAAAUUCUGAAAUUUUAUUUCAUUACCUUGAAAGCUACGAUUUAGCAUAGUGAACAUCAGGCAAUCUGUAGUACUUAAUCUACUAGCUCAGCAGAACACCAAAUUAAUUCAAAUUUGAAAAAAACCUCUCCAUCUGUAGCAAAAGCAUUUUCUCAAUUACAUACUGAAUUAAAUAAGAGGUAGAAAUAUUUCUGAAAGCUUGAAAUUUAUAGUUUCAUUAGACUGAAAAACUAAACCUAAAAAUGUGUAAAAAUCUACAUUAAUCAUUUAGGUUUAGCACAUAAGUGCAAAUGGCUUGGAACUGAGCUUCAUUUCAAACUGUAAGUAAUAAUUACCUAGCGACACCUCAUGAGCUUCAUUAGAACCCUGCUUUUAAUAAAAGUGGGGAACACUAGGGAUCUGCACAAAUAAGAAGAUUACGGUAUUUAAUCAGAACAAAAUGGUAAUGAUAAAGCUUUAUUAUAUAGCAUUUCCAAAUAUAAAAUCAAGGAAGAUUAUAUAAGUGGAAUAAAAAUUCAUUUUCAAGUAUUUUCUUUGGUGAAUUAUCUUCUUUCUGUGAACCCUUUGAUUUGUAUAAAUUAGUUUUGGUACUUGAAACAGCCAUACUCAACAAUUAGUAGAUGGAAAAUUCUUUUUGCCAAACUACUGUUCUUAUGUAGUGCCAGUCUACAAAUAUUUUUAGUCUUCAUCAGAAUUUUAGUAUUCACUAGUCACAUUUUGAGGUUUGUAAUGAUCCUUUUUGUCACAAAGUUUUUUCUCGUUCAUGGCUGGUA